CUACGUGCCAGCAGCCGCGGUAAUACGGAAGGUCCGGGCGUUAUCCGGAUUUAUUGGGUUUAAAGGGAGCGUAGSCCGGAGAUUAAGUGUGUUGUGAAAUGUAGACGCUCAACGUCUGACUUGCAGCGCAUACUGGUUUCCUUGAGUACGCACAACGUUGGCGGAAUUCGUCGUGUAGCGGUGAAAUGCUUAGAUAUGACGAAGAACUCCGAUUGCGAAGGCAGCUGACGGGAGCGCAACUGACGCUUAAGCUCGAAGGUGCGGGUAUCGAACAGGAUUAGAUACCCUGGUAGUCCGCACAGUAAACGAUGGAUGCCCGCUGUUGGUACCUGGUAUCAGCGGCUAAGCGAAAGCAUUAAGCAUCCCACCUGGGGAGUACGCCGGCAACGGUGAAACUCAAAGGAAUUGACGGGGGCCCGCACAAGCGGUGGAGCAUGUGGUUUAAUUCGAAGCAACGCGAAGAACCUUACCAGGUCUUGACA
rnacentral:rRNA from 1 species